GGAAAUGCGUGUGCUAGCUUUCUGUGUGCUUAGGUGCCCGAGCUACUGAGGGUCUAGGUCCGGGCAGCCGAAGAGUGUGGUAGGUAACGGUCGUCAGCGCAAGGGUCAUUUCGUCGCUGGGAAGGGACGGCCCUCGCCCGCGGUGAUGGUGGUGAGCUAUGCCCGUGGUCCUCAGGGCCGGGACCCGGGCCCAGCCCAGGCUCCUUUCGAUGUGCUGUCUUUCGUUAGCUUCCCCGACCCGCGCUCGCGGGCCUGUAGGGCUCUCCGACAGGGCGUGCUACCGGAGUUGGCCUGAAGCCAGUCCUCGCUUUGUUUUCUGGCUCCUCCCCUCCCGCCUCUCCCGCUGUCUCCGCCCUAUUCUAUUUUCCCAAAGAAUGUCUGAACUGGGAGGGAUCCCCUAGCGCCCUUGUUUUACCAGUGAGAAAACUGAGGCCUUUAAGAACUGACUUGGCCAAGGUCACUAUCCGUAUUUUAGGGGCCAAGGCAAGAUCAAGUUCAAUAUCCUAGGACUGGUACUGACUAGAUCUUAGUAUUACUUUGAAAAUGUUGCCCUCCAACGUCAAAAGCGAACAUUUCUUACUACGUUCUCAACCUCUCCUUUCUCCUGUUCCAUUAAAAAAAAUAAUAACUGAAAACUCACUACCAGUCUGAGUUUCAUAUGAGCAACGAGAUGGGAGACAACAAAAGUAGUCUAAAGUUAGUGACAGAUGAGCGGAGUAACGUUAGCUUAUUCCAAGUUGUACAACCCAAUCUUCCUCUCCUUUCUACACCGUUUUGGUUGUCUGUUUUUCUGAAAAUUGAGAAUUUUCUAAGUUAGGAAUUAGUUUGAAAUUUGUUUUCUCCUUAUCCCAACCGGCAAGCUUUGGUAAAGAAUACACAUAUACUUACUGUUAGUUUGGCAGUUAUAAUUCUGGGUACAUCAUAGUGAAAAGCGAAGUAAAGCACUUAGGAGCCUUACCGGGAAAUUUCGUUUUUCACCAAUUGUGCUUAAUCUUUUAUCGAUAUUGGGGUAUUAUAGCCAAACUUUUGCAUGCAGUUAAGGUGCCAAAGUGAUUAGCAAUCAAUUAUGGUCUGGGGACCUCUGGGGUCACAGUACCUGAGUUCAAGUCUUGCCUUCACUUUUUUAUCCUCGUGCCUCAGUUUCCUCAUCUGUAAAAUACAAAUUAUGUUAAUAGUACUUACAUAAAAGAAUAUGAUCUGGGAAUUAAAUGAGUUAAAAACUCAGUGCCUUAAGUCAGUGACAGGCACACAACUGUUUAGUAGAUGUUACAAUAACUGUUAUUGUCCAAAGACUCGUUAAUAAAGGGUAUAUGGGGAAGAAAAUUCUAAAGUUCAUGAUUAUGACUGCUUGGGAUGCAGUAAAUAAUAUUAAGAAUAAUGAUACUGUGAACACAUCAAAAUUUAUCACCCCUUCAGCUGACAGACACUGUUAAACAUAUUGAGGUGCUUACCUAGAGGAUUUAGAAGAAAAUGCUUUGUAAGUGUUCUGUAUCUGAAAAUACAUGUUGAUGUUCAGGUUAGCAAGAUGAACAAAGAUGCGCAGAUGAGAGCAGCGAUUAACCAAAAGUUGAUAGAAACUGGAGAAAGAGAACGCCUCAAAGAGUUGCUGAGAGCUAAAUUAAUUGAAUGUGGCUGGAAGGAUCAGUUGAAGGCACACUGUAAAGGUAAUCAGUUUCAUUUAGAAGCUAAGCUAAUUCCAUUGCUCUCAACUGUGUUGGUUUGGAAUUCACUAGAAGAAUUAUAGUCAAUAUUUUAAGGUAUAUUGAGUGCUUGAGCAUAAUUUUAAACAAGUAGAAAAUUGAAUCUUGUGGUGAUCAUUGCUUCUUCUCAGUGAUAAUGUGUAGACCUGUUCUUUAAUUUUUAGAAACUUUGUGUUUCUGUUUUUAAAAAGUGAGGCAAGAUUUUUGUCCGACAUGGAAUAUGGAGUCCCAUCUUUUUCAGUGUGCCUGUUCAGUGAAACAUGAAUUACUCCUAGUGUGUCUUAAUGUAGCACAUUGAGCACUUUAUGAUUGGCAGACUUAUAGGAGUUAUAUCUCCUAUUUCUAGCAGUUAUUUUUGAAAAAUUCAUGUAUAAAAUCUCUUAGAGAGUUACACCUAUUUUUAAACUUGUAGAAGUUGUUAAAUUGCUGAGUAUUGAUGACAAUGCCACUAGAUAGAUUACAUGUGUCACUAAGAUGAGCCUCCUUCCUUUCUGGCUUAGCUUUUGGUAUAAUGGAAUUCUGGAUAUUUAGAAUGGAUUCUCAUUGUAUUGUAAUGGUUUCUACAAAUGAUAAGAGACUAUUGAUCCCAUUAACCCUAAGAAGUCAACGUGGCAACUUAGUAAAAGCAUAGACUUUGAGGUCAUACAGCCCUUCACUGGUAAGACCGAAGCUGGAUUUCAGGUCAUGUGGAAGUGAGUUAUUUAAUCUUUGAGCCCCACUUGUCUUACCUCUGAAGUGGGAAAAAUGCCCAGCCCAUUAGAUUAUUGUGAAUAUUAAAUGAUGCAAAUCACCCAGCAAGUAGUAGGGGUCCAGUGUUAGCUGCUUUCCGCCUUCUCUUUCUUUCAGCCCAGCCUAGAGAAGAGAAAGGAGCUAAGGAAUUGUUCUAUAUUUUAAUCUUGGGCUGUAAAAUAACAAGUAAGACUCAAAUAAUAGCUUAUUCCUUUCCAUACAUUCAAGAGCUAGUAUGUUUAUCAUGAAAUACAUCUGUGCAGUUGCAGGUUUCCAGCUUUUUACAAAUACUAGAUUGAAUUUAUAGUUCAGAUUCAUUCUGAGUGUUGCAAUGUUUUGUUUUUGAUCUGGCAAAUACGUACUGUGUUUAAGGUUGAAUUAAAUCUCCAUUAGAAAAGAAAAAAAGAAGUUUCCUCUUUUUUUUUUUUUUUUUAAAGACCAGUCUGUACUUUAAAAACAUGAUCUUAACCCUUCCUCUAUGAAAAUCUUUCUUACAGAUAAUGAUUUUAAAUGAUAUGAUUUGUUUUUUGCUUUUGCAUAAGAGGUAAUUAAAGAAAAAGGACUAGAACACGUUACUGUUGAUGACUUGGUGGCUGAAAUCACACCAAAAGGCAGAGCCCUGGUACCUGACAGUGUAAAGAAGGAGCUCCUACAAAGAAUAAGAACAUUCCUUGCUCAGCAUGCCAGCCUUUAAGAUUGAAUUAGAUUGUGUCGUUUUGUGGUUUUAUUUCUGAAAGUAAAACUUGCCAUAAAUUAGGAAUCAAUUUCCCCAAAUAAAAUCCUUUUUUGUAUGAUGGUAUACAGUUUUCAGUAAUGAUGUAUACAUUGUAUUGAUUUUUUUCCCUAAAUGUGUUAUUUUAAUAAAUAUCUCAUGAAUGAGUUUGAAGUUUCCUUGGGUUUUGGAAUAAAUGGGACUUUAUUAAUAAUUCAUCAGAUUUGUUGAGAGAAAAAGUCAGCAAUUAAUAUAGUUUAAGUGUUAAAUAUGUAAAUGUUAAGUAAGCAAAUAUCUGUACUAACAACUGAGAAGUAAACAGCGUCUUCUGAUUGUUUGGAUGUAGUGUAUGCCUCUUGAAUCCCUAUAAUAUUUUAUAAUAUAUGUCCCAUCUUGUACUACAGAUAUCUUAUUUGUUAUUAAUGCUGAGGUUAGGACUAGGUCUUACUCAUCUUUAUGUGCCUUCCUUAUUCCUCAAAGAAUUUACCAUCUUAUUGGAAGAGAGAACAUUUGCAAACUGGCUCCAUACCAAGCUCCUUUCACAUACUCAUCUGAACUUUGAAAGCAGAAACUAAAUUGCAUCCCCACAUACUAAGGUCAAGAAAGAACUUAAUGGGAAAUAAUCUCCGCCCAUAGCUUUACUCUGACAUCAAGAUUGCCAAAUCCAUGGACUUUUGUCUAUUCUUACGUGACCUCUACUGGAAAAGGAGAAUGUUGACCAUCCUGCCACUUGGAACUCUUCCCACUCCUCACGUUGUUUAUACCUACCACUGGAAGCUCCUCCUAUUUCUUGUGGAUAACUUUUGCUGUAUGGAACUUUAAAUAAUGGUGUUUCUUAGUGCCCCCUCUGGGCCCUCUGCCUGAUAAAAUUUCCUGGGCAAAUCCCAGGAAACUUGGGUCGGACCAUGGCUUCAAACACUAACAGGUUGACAAAUGAUAAACUGCAUCUCCAGCCCAGCCUCCAGAUCCAUAUACUCAACUGCUACGGAUCAGACUCCUUGAAUGUUCCAUAAACACCUCAAACUGACC
rnacentral:lncRNA from 1 species